rnacentral:lncRNA from 1 species
GCUCUGUACCGCCUUCCACUCACACUACACUAUAGUUUUUUUAUUACUAAUCCAAUCAAAAUGCCCCACGAUAAAUUUCAAUUUCAUAUACCAACAACAAAUGAAUCUAAUAAUGGUUACAACCACUAAAUAUAUCGUUAUCUGAUUAGCAUUAACCAAUCAAAACAUUACGUUUAAAUAUAGCGCAAUACUCGUGCUAGAAACAGCCAAUAAGAGAUACAACCGUACAGGCGGUUGUCCACCGUGAGAAAAAUAAAGGCCUGACGCAAGUUAUAAUUAUACAUUUUUUACAUGCAAUGGACCUGGACAUCAAAGAAUCACUUUCAUUAUCAUCAUCUGUUGAUCGCCUCUCAUGAGUCAUGUGCUUAUGGUAGAAAUUAAAUUUUCUGAUGGCAGUUAAAAAGUUGAGCAAUUUUAAGAGCAGGUCUUCUCAAACUAACACUGCCCAUAUUUACUAAGAUGGCCACGACAACACCAUUUGGUAGUGGACUAUCCUGUGUGACGUCAAAUAAGUUCUUCUUCACAGAGUUUGGUAGAAUUAAGAGUAUACUGCUUGCUCCCACAGCUCCACCUGCG